CCCACAGGCCAGAAGCAGCACAGGCUGAAGACAAGAAGAUAGAAAGAUUCUAGUGACUAGAUUUUGUGGAAGGCACAGCUGCAAAUCUGACCAACUGCAUGUUUCCUAAUGUCAAACCAAGUCAUCUGCGCAAGAGCUCUGAUGACUUGACUUUAAGCUACAUAAAGCAGUCCAAUCCUUCACCUAUGGAGUUUGCAAAGUCUGGAGAACUGGAGCUCUACUCGUCUCUUCUGAAAAGCUUAGCUGGUGGUUAAACAGGCAGUUUAACUGACAAGCCCAAAGUCAAGAGUGAGUGGUAGAACUGGGAACAGAACCGUGGAGAUCUGAGCCCAAAUCAGUACACGUACACUGCCUGCUAUUAUGCAGUCGAAGCCAGUAAGAAUCCUGUGGCCUAGUUUGGUUCAAGAAUUAAAGGGCAAAGUGAACUGAUCAGUGAAAGAGUGAAGGGACACACACAUCACACCAACAACAGAGAAUGCAGAAGCACUGUUAGCCGCAGAGAUGACAGAUUGCUGGAGACAAGGUGGAAAGCAAAAAGCUGCAGCUGCAAGUCUGCUCUCUAGUGGUCAUCCAGAAAUGGGGCAGCGCUGCUCCUAGAGUAAUAGUGGAUGCAAGCACUUGUCAAGUGUCACCUUAAUGUCAGUGUGUAAUAUCUGCAAAGAAGUUCUAUGAUUGCAGAGAGAAAAGAUGCUACCAAUUUUUAGGAUGAAAAUUCUCAAAUUCUGACUUUUCAUUCUGAAUGAUGAGAACUGAAAACCCACAAACCGAACAAAAUAUUAACAAAAAUUAAAAAAAAAAAAAGAGGAUGUUAGUGUGUUUUCUUCAGAUUUGUGGGUUUUACAAAUUCUAAAAUAUUGUAUUGGUGUAAUACUUGCCUUAAUUUAAUAUCUAGAAAUAAAGAGGAUGAUAAAAAGUCUUUGCCAUGAACCUCAUGGUGUAUCUGCUGAUCAGGUCUUAAUGUA